CUACAUCAAAGCUUCAUUCAGAAACCAAAAGGGUUAUGCAAAAAGUGGAAUUCUACCUCAAUACAAACUCAGGAAGAACUAGACAUCCUUCAAGGCUGGAAUGAAAAACCUAAGCUCCUGCCAUAGAUUUAUGUCCAAUCAGAGGAGAAACAGUACAGAUUAAUAACAAUUUGCAAAGGAAUCCCAUGAACAUUUGGUGAGUGCUCUCUGACCCAGCAGAGAUCCAUCUGUGGGAUGUCCAGGUUAGAGAAUACCCAGAGAGGCAAAUAGCAGUUUGACUUGAGCCUUAGCCCUCAUACCAAGAGCACAGUUUGAUUUUGGCUUGGCUAUAAGCAUGUAUGCCUAAAGUGGAAUGCAUUGUAUAGAAAUGCUUGAAUUUGAAUCAUUUCUUAGAUGUCUGGCAUUGUGAUCUUUACAAACUUUUAAUAAAUGGCAAUCAACCC
ensembl:lncRNA novel transcript